rnacentral:rRNA from 1 species
UACGUAGGGACCAAGCGUUGUUCGGAUUUACUGGGCGUAAAGGGCGCGUAGGCGGCGCGGUAAGUCACUUGUGAAAUCUCUGAGCUUAACUCAGAACGGCCAAGUGAUACUGCAGUGCUAGAGUGUGGAAGGGCAAUCGGAAUUCUUGGUGUAGCGGUGAAAUGCGUAGAUAUCAAGAGGAACACCUGCGGUGUAGACGGCUUACUGGACCAUAACUGACGCUGAGGCACGAAAGCGUGGGUAGCAAACAGG